UGCGCAGGCGGAAUAGUCAGUCAGUGGUGAAAUCCUACAGCUUAACUGUAGAACUGCCAUUGAUACUGCUGUUCUUGAGUACAGUUGAGGUAGGCGGAAUGUGUAGUGUAGCGGUGAAAUGCUUAGAUAUUACACAGAACACCGAUUGCGAAGGCAGCUUACUAAACUGUUACUGACGCUGAGGCACGAAAGCGUGGGGAGCGAACAGGAUUAGAUACCCUGGUAGUC
rnacentral:rRNA from 1 species